rnacentral:rRNA from 1 species
GACGAACGCUGGCGGCGUGCUUAACACAUGCAAGUCGAACGGAAAGGCCCUGCUUUUGUGGGGUGCUCGAGUGGCGAACGGGUGAGUAACACGUGAGUAACCUGCCCUUGACUUUGGGAUAACUUCAGGAAACUGGGGCUAAUACCGGAUCGGAGCUCCUGCUGCAUGGUGGGGGUUGGAAAGUUUCGGCGGUUGGGGAUGGACUCGCGGCUUAUCCGCUUGUUGGUGGGGUAGUGGCUUACCAAGGCUUUGACGGGUAGCCGGCCUGAGAGGGUGACCGGCCACAUUGGGACUGAGAUACGGCCCAGACGCCUACGGGAGGCAGCAGUGGGGAAUAUUGCACAAUGGGCGGAAGCCUGAUGCAGCAACGCCGCGUGCGGGAUGACGGCCUUCGGGUUGUAAACCGCUUUCGCCUGUGACGAAGCGUGAGUGACGGUAAUGGGUAAAGAAGCACCGGCUAACUACGUG